CGCGAUUUUAGGUGGAGGGCCUUGUCGCGCCCUGGGAGGGCUUGCGCCGGGGUCGGCUCAGGACGGGUCGGGGAUCGCCGCCGCGAGGCGCGGC
rnacentral:tRNA from 2 species